UUAAAAAAACAUUUUUUUUUGUUUAAUUAAAAAGUAAAGCCUGCCCACUGAAGUAUUAAAGGGCCGCGGUAUAUUGACCGUGCUAAGGUAGCAUAAUCAUUAGUCUCUUAAUUAGGGAAUAGAAUGAAUGGCUAAACACACAGAAAUUUUAUUAUUUUAAGUUUAUUAAUUUUAAUUUUAAGUGAAAAUUCUUAACUUUUUUAAUGGGACGAUAAGACCCUAUAGAGCUUAAUUUUAAAUACUGCAAAAUGUUUUGGGGGAAACAUUUUGCAGUAUUUAAAAUUUAGUUGGGGCAAUUUCAUAAUAAAAAAAACUUCUGAAUAUCGUAUGAUCUUUAUGUUAAAAAAUUAAAAAGUUACCUUAGGGAUAACAGCGUUAUAAUUUUUAAGAGUUCUUAUCGACAAAAUUGUUUGCGACCUCGAUGUUGAAUUAAAAAUUUCUUUAUAGGGCAGAAUUUAUAUUAGAUAGUCUGUUCGACUAUUAAAUUUUUACAUGAUUUGAUUCCAGACCGGA
rnacentral:rRNA from 1 species